CUUUCGAACCAAAGUUAGCGAGUAGAGAGAGAAAGUGAGAAGAAGAGAGAGAAAGAAGAGAGAAGAGGCAGAAGGAUAGAGAGAUGUCACGAAGAUGCAGAGAGAAGGUUAGAGAUAGAGAGGAAGAUAAGCUUGGUUUUUUAGUGCUCUCUUCUUAGUUUGCUGAUGCUCUUCUUGUGGUGGAACCCUAAUUUUUAGAGCCCCACUUGAGAAUUCGCCUCCAUUGUUUCUUUUCUUCUGGUAUUUUGAGUCUUGGAGCUGUUGUUUUUGGGCAAAAUCAGCACAGAGGAGAAGGCAGCAACUAGGCACGCAUUGCCCCAAAGUAGAGUUUUCAGGUUGAGCAAUUGAUUCUUGUAAGCAGAAGGCAGCAACCAUUGAUGGCAACAAUAACCGGAAAGCAUUGGGAGAUAUAGGAAAUCUAGAAGCAAACAAGGCAACAUACUCAAGAUUGAAGACCUAAAUUCUGCUUUCCCUAUCUCUCUCUCACAAAGCUUUUUCAACACACCAAUUCCAAGUUUUUACUCGAAUUCUUUUAUAACAGGGAACCUCUCCCUCAAUCUCCCAGCCAAGUUACAAGAAGCUUCGGAGUGGAACUUCUGGCCAAUGCACAUGCUGUUGUUACAACCAACAAGGUGGCCGACAUCUGGAAUCUUACUAUUCACCUUUUACUAAAGCAAGUCGGUGCAAUUAUGCAAUGGAUUCCAAAUUUCUAUUUUGAAGUCUUGCCCUCCAUCUAUAAUUAGGGAAAGCCUCUUCUUAGAAGGGCAUCGAAAGUUAGCAAAGAGUGUUGGAGUGUUUGUGAGCAUAAAUGUCUUGAGUGUUGCGAGUGUCUGAGUGCUUGUGUAGUAUUAGCAGAGCGUAUGCAUUAGCGUGAUUACUAAGCUUGUCUGGUGGCGUAUCAAGCUCGUUUCUACAACUUGUCCUGUUUAAUGUACUAGAUCUCUUUAACAGCAGCGUGGAUGCAUAAAAUAUGGACAGUGAGUGGUCAAUGGAGAAAGUCCUUCAAGUCAUUAUUAAUUGCCGAUUUUGGCAUGGUGAUGGAAGGAAUGUAGAAUUCUACAAUAAUCUAGUAAGAGUUAGAUUAUGUUGGGAUCCUUUUUUUUUUUCUUUUUGAAGAAAUCCUCCAAUUGCUUGAUCUUUUAAUUGAUAUGGACUUUUUGUCCUUUCCAUCUUUGCUUUUCUCUAUUUGCAAAAACAUUUCAAGUUGGCCUAUCAUCUGUUUGGGUAGCUGGAUUAUUUUUUGUUGAUCUCUGCACCACACAGUUGUGGCCUUCUCUUAUAGAUCAGAUUAAGCUUAAGACUACACAAAAAGAUGAUGAAGAUGGAGGCUUCAGUGUUACUAUUUUCUCACCUCCAAGCCCUUUUGAAGGCUUGGUAGGGACACACCAACUCUUUGCAAUUCAUUCAUGACUAGCUUUCUCACAAGAUCUUCAGGUGGUUCUGUUUAUAUAGCAAACAUCUGCCUUAACAAUUGCACACACCUUGGGUUACAGUUGAAACAACCAUUGUUGAUUUUACAUAAGCUUAUGAUGCAGAACUUCUUUACUUCUUGCUCUUUGUGCCAUGGCUCAGGGUUUUAUUAUGUUGUAGUCUUUGUUUCUUAAUAUAGUGGAAGGCAGUUUGUUA